rnacentral:lncRNA from 1 species
CCCUGCGUAUACCUUCCUUCUCGCCGGGGUCUCCGCCGGCCGUCGCUUUGCUUGCCGGCAAGGCUUCCCGGAUCCUCCCCUUCCUCCCAGCUACAUUUGGCCUCACCGAAAGCUGCUCUGCUACUGCUAGCCUGCGCGUGACAAGGCUUCUGCGUGCGUGGCUUCGUGCAUGUGUUCGCGCGGCCAGGGUGGCGCUCUAGCGCAAGCUUCUUCUUGGCGGUACUAGUUUCUUGCUGCCGCAUAUAUGCCUGGCUCGCGCGUCGCCUGCCAUUUACGCUUGCUAGAUGAACGCCGCAUGCCACUGUUGCUGACGUGCAGGGCCUGAUCGACCAGAGUGUACGUGCUGCGAAUCUCUUUGGACGUUGAUCCGUUCGUCUUGGAAGAUUGGGUGAGUGGGUCAAAAUUAAGAUGAUCUUUCAAUGGUGAAAUUGUAUUGUGUUGUAUAGUUUGUUUCAUGGUGUUUUAUUCGAUCUGAAAUGUGUGUCUAUUGUCUCUGUUUUGCUGGGAUGGAGACAGGAAGAUCGAACCUGCUGAGACGUGGUGC